GCUGGGCACAGUGGUGCAUGCCUGUAGUCCCAGCUACUCAGGACACUGAGGCAAGAGAAUGGCUCGAGCCCAGGCGUUCUGGGUUGUAAUGCACUAUACUGACUGGGUAUCUGCACUAAGUUCAGCAUCAAUAUGGUAAUCUCCCAGGAGCGGGGAACCACCAGGUUGCCUAAGGAAGAGUGAACUGGCUCAGGUCAGAAAAAGAGCCAGUCAAAACUCCUGUGUCGAUCAGCAGGGAGAUCGCGCCUGUGAAUAGCCACUGCACUACGAUCCGUUGUCUACAACAAGCACACUUC
rnacentral:SRP_RNA from 10 species